rnacentral:rRNA from 1 species
AACGAACGCUGGCGGCAUGCCUAACACAUGCAAGUCGAACGAGACCUUCGGGUCUAGUGGCGCACGGGUGCGUAACGCGUGGGAACCUGCCCUUAGGUUCGGAAUAACUCCCCGAAAGGGGUGCUAAUACCGGAUAAUGUCUUCGGACCAAAGAUUUAUCGCCUUUGGAUGGGCCCGCGUUGGAUUAGCUAGUUGGUAGGGUAAAAGCCUACCAAGGCGACGAUCCAUAGCUGGUCUGAGAGGAUGAUCAGCCACACUGGGACUGAGACACGGCCCAGACUCUUACGGAAGGAAGCAGUGGGGAUAAUUGGCCAAUGGCGAAAGCCUGAUCCAGCAAUGCCGCGUGAGUGAUGAAGGCCUUAGGGUUGUAAAGCUCUUUUACCCGGGAUGAUAAUGACAGUACCGGGAGAAUAAGCUCCGGCUAACUCCGUG